rnacentral:rRNA from 1 species
AACGAACGCUGGCGGCAGGCUUAACACAUGCAAGUCGAGCGCCCCGCAAGGGGAGCGGCAGACGGGUGAGUAACACGUGGGAACGUACCCUUCGGUUCGGGACAACCGAGGGAAACUUCGGCUAAUACCGCAUACGCCGGGAAACCGGGAAAGAUUUAUCGCUUUAGGAGGGGCCCGCGUCGGAUUAGCUAGUUGGUGGGGUAACGCCUACCAAGGCUAUGAUCCGUAGCUGGUCUGAGAGGAUGAUCAGCCACACUGGGACUGAGACACGGCCCAGACUCCUACGGGAGGCAGCAGUGGGGAAUAUUGCACAAUGGGCGGAAGCCUGAUGCAGCGACGCCGCGUGA